rnacentral:misc_RNA from 1 species
AAUGUCGUAACAAGGUUUUCCGUAGGUGAACCUGCGGAAGGAUCAUUAUUUGAAAAGUAAAUGGGUUGUCUGCUGGCCAUCUCGGGGUCACGUGCACGCCCAAAAUUCCACAACACACCUGUGAACCCACCGUAGGCCCAACGGGCUUAUGUAUAUCAUAUACUCUGAUCAUAGAAUGUAAAUUAUUUUGGCCCUUAAAAAAUCGCAAUGAAAUACAA